rnacentral:sRNA from 1 species
UUUUUGCGUUAAGGAUUGUAGCGGCAUCCUUUUUAUUUGGGGUUGAAUUCUGAAUAAAAAGAUAUAGCGAAAAGCCUGACGUUUU